rnacentral:rRNA from 1 species
AUUGAACGCUGGCGGCAUGCCUUACACAUGCAAGUCGAACGGCAGCAUAGGAGCUUGCUCCUGAUGGCGAGUGGCGAACGGGUGAGUAAUGCAUCGGAACGUGCCCGAUCGUGGGGGAUAACGCAGCGAAAGCUGCGCUAAUACCGCAUACGAUCUGAGGAUGAAAGCGGGGGACCGUAAGGCCUCGCGCGAUCGGAGCGGCCGAUGUCAGAUUAGGUAGUUGGUGGGGUAAAGGCUCACCAAGCCAACGAUCUGUAGCUGGUCUGAGAGGACGACCAGCCACACUGGGACUGAGACACGGCCCAGACUCCUACGGGAGGCAGCAGUGGGGAAUUUUGGACAAUGGGCGAAAGCCUGAUCCAGCAAUGCCGCGUGCAGGAAGAAGGCCUUCGGGUUGUAAACUGCUUUUGUACGGAGCGAAAAGGCUCUCUCUAAUACAGGGGGCUCAUGACGGUACCGUAAGAAUAAGCACCGGCUAACUACGUGCCAGCAGCCGCGGUAA